GUCCGAUAUCAGUUUUGGGGUCCCAUAUGUGUGCUGUGCUGUUGGGAAGUUUUGUAGUGUGUUUUGUGGGAUGUCCUGUGAGAUGUUACUGCUAGGUCGCCUGAGGUGUGAGCCAACUGGCCCAGUCUUUCUCAUAUUUCUCUAUGCAUCUGUUUAUUUUGCUAGCCAUCCUCUCGUAUGCGCUUAUUUGGUCCAUUCUGGAUCGUAUAUUGUCUAUUGGGGGAAUCUGUG